rnacentral:rRNA from 1 species
CCUACGGGGGGCAGCAGUGAGGAAUAUUGGUCAAUGGACGAGAGUCUGAACCAGCCAAGUAGCGUGAAGGAUGACUGCCCUAUGGGUUGUAAACUUCUUUUAUAUGGGAAUAAAAUGUUCCACGUGUGGGAUUUUGUAUGUACCAUAUGAAUAAGGAUCGGCUAACUCCGUGCCAGCAGCCGCGGUAAUACGGAGGAUCCGAGCGUUCUCCGGAUUUAUUGGGUUUAAAGGGAGCGUAGGUGGAUUGUUAAGUCAGUUGUGAAAGUUUGCGGCUCAACCGUAAAAUUGCAGUUGAAACUGGCAGUCUUGAGUACAGUAGAGGUGGGCGGAAUUCGUGGUGUAGCGGUGAAAUGCUUAGAUAUCACGAAGAACUCCGAUUGCGAAGGCAGUUCACUGGACUGCAACUGACACUGAGGCUCGAAAGUGUGGGUAUCAAACAGGAUUAGAUACCCCUGUAGUC